UACGUAGGGUGCAAGCGUUGUCCGGCAUUAUUGGGCGUACAGAGCUCGUAGGCGGUUUGUUGCGUCGGCUGUGAAAUCCCGAGGCUCAACCUCGGGUCUGCAGUCGAUACGAGCAAACUAGAGUGUUGCAGGGGAGACUGGAAUUCCUGGUGUAGCGGUGAAAUGCGCAGAUAUCAGGAGGAACACCGGUGGCGAAGGCGGGUCUCUGGGCCGAUACUGACGCUGAGGAGCGAAAGCGUGGGGAGCGAACAGG
rnacentral:rRNA from 1 species